AGUUGUUGCGGUUAAAAAGCUCGUAGUCGAAUCUGUGUCCCGCGCCGCCGGUUCAUCGUCCGCGGUGUUAACUGGCGUGCCGCGGGACGUCCUGCCGGUGGGCUUAGCUCGCAAGGGCGGCCCAACUCAAUCCCGCCGCGGUGCUCUUCACUGAGUGUCGAGGUGGGCCGGCACGUUUACUUUGAACAAAUUAGAGUGCUUAAAGCAGGCUAAAACUUCGCCUGAAUACUGUGUGCAUGGAAUAAUGGAAUAGGACCUCGGUUCUAUUUUGUUGGUUUUCGGAACCCCGAGGUAAUGAUUAAUAGGAACGGAUGGGGGCAUUCGUAUUGCGACGUUA
rnacentral:rRNA from 1 species